CUCGAGCUGAGCUUUCGCUCACCAUCCACCACUGCUGUUUGCCACUGUCGCAGACCCACCGCCGACUCCCAUCCCUCUGGAUCCGGCAGGGUGUCCGCUGAGCUCCUGAUACGGCGAGACUCCCAUUGCCACUCCCGAUCAUGCUAAAGGCUUGCCAUUGUUCCUGCAACGUUAAGUGCCUGGGUUCGUCCUAAUCGAGCUGAACACUAGUCACUGGGUUCCAUGGUUCUCUUCCGUGACCCACGGCUUCUAAUAGAGCUAUAACACUCACUGCAUGGCCCAAGAUUCCAUUCCUUGGAAUCCGUGAGGCCAAGAACCCCAGGUCAGAGAAGACGAGGCUUGCCACCAUCUUGGAAGCGGCCCGCCACCAUCUUGGAAGUGGCUCGCCACCAUCUUGGGAGCUCUGUGAGCAAGGACCUCCGGUAACAUUUUGGCGACCACGAAGGGACAUCCAAAGCUUAUUGCCUAACGGUCCACAAUAAAACAUUCUCACUUUGGUAACUGUAUAAAAAUAGAAGUACAUUACAUAAAAAAGCUCACUAUCCUUGACAGAGAAGAAAGGACUUAGAACCGGAAUUCAACUUUGUGACCAUAAUCUUUGAGCACAGAGUAUUCAUUAUCCUGAGGCCGAGAAUUUCUGGAUGAAUGUGGUUAAAUCACUGGAACAAUAAAGCAAGACAGUUAAGAAAAGCACCUGGCACAAAGGGAGAAUGCUGCAAGAAAGAAAACACAAGCAUUUUAAAGGAACCAUAACAGUUACAAAGAAUCAGGAGACAAUGCAGGAUGGUAUAGGAGGCCAAAGGAAGAAUACAUUUCAAGCUAUUCUACUUCUACUGUUCAUCGGUUGAAAUGGUCAUCAAAAUGUAAUAAGUUGAUCGAAGACUCUCAGAUAUUACUUUAGAAUAUAUUCCUUUUAUGAAAGCUGCAUCUGUAUUUGACUUGGUAAGAUAAUAAAUUCAAGAAAAGCCCAACUGGGACCUCUAACAUACUCUUCUACAAUAUAUGAAUUUUAUACUAAAUAAGACUAUAAUAUUCUCCUCUACAAGUGGAAACCACAUCCCCAUAGGAAAUCGAGAUGCUAAACUAUUAAUAGUUUACCCAGGUUUUCUCUGCCUACCAUGGAACCUUAAACUUCAUCACAGCCUAAGCACUGUAAAACAUUAUAAUUUAUGUUCAUAUAAAUGAAACUCUCUAGACAUUCUUCAUCUUGUCUACUACUUAAUGUUUCUGAUGUUUUUAAGACAGAGAAGUUCUCUGCAUUCAACCUGAGAAAAGACAAUGUCAAAAUAAAUUUAUAUAUCAAAUAAAUACUGUCAGAAGCAUUGCUAUAAGUCUGGUAAUGUUUUAAAAUGUUGUGCCAGUAA
rnacentral:lncRNA from 10 species